UAUGAAGAACGUAGCGAAAUGCGAUAAGUAAUGUGAAUUGCAGAAUUCAGUGAAUCAUCGAAUCUUUGAACGCACAUUGCGCCCGCCAGUAUUCUGGCGAGCAUGCCUGUUCGAGCGUCAUUUCAACCAUCAAGCCCCAGGCUUGUGUUGGAGCCCUGCGGCUGCCGCAGCCUCCCAAAACCAGUGGCGGGCUCGCUAUCACACCGAGUGCAGUAGUUUACUCUUCGCUCAGGGCGUGUGGCGGGUGCUAGCCGUGAAACCCCCAACUUCUCAAGGUUGACCUCGGAUCAGGUAGGAAUACCCGCUGAACUUAAGCAUAUCAAUAAGCGGAGGA
rnacentral:misc_RNA from 1 species